UUCCGCUCUUUCCUUUCUUUCUGCAAUGGAGGACCACGUUGCCACCUAUGUUCGAGUUUAUUUAACACCAAAUGGCAAAUACGGUCCAAAUGGUUCUCUGCUUUACUUUUUGAGUUAUUACCGGUAUAGAAAAAAAGAAAAGAACAUAGCUGAGUUGUAGCAGCUGUAAAAAGACGACUAACGAUGCGAGGGCAUUAAAAGGAAUACAGAAUGAAGGCAAGGUCCCAAAGAGGGUCUGCUCUGAGUUAGGGUACCUUACACCUGGCUGGAUGUGAGAGAUGCAUGUUGGAAAAGUGUGAAUCAAAAGGGACGGGGGCCCGGGUUGAGGACGCCGUUCGCCCGACUGCAUGUGAGAGCUGUUUUCAGGCCACCGCUUAAAAGAUGACGCUUCGUUUUGAGUAAGAAAACGGCACGGGGAUUGUGCCGUCUCUGGUUGACCACGGACUGGACACCAGCUCCUGCACUUACCAUUAAACGCCCUUACUGUUUUUUAUUUAUUUGUAUUGGAGUAUGUCAAUAUUUAAAGUUUUAUUCAAUGAUUUUAUAAUUAUUUUGAGUUUGAUGGGUGAGAAUGACAGAUUUAAUGAUACGCACGGGACAACAGAAGUGCCAAAAUUUAAAAGUGAAAUACCGAACUAAUUAAUGACGCAUUUAUAUAUUUACUUUAGGCACUGUUGGUCCUCCGUAUGGGGAAGGAUGAGAAUCUACUCAGGAAAUUGCUCAAUUUCUCUUAUUUUCUUAUUUCUUCUUGGAAUAAUUUGGCUAAUCUUUACUGGAUAAAGAUUUGGAAUUUAACUUGGAAAUAUUUGAUUAACGAUAAAAUGAAAGUAAAUUCAAAAAUACUUUAUAGGCUGUACCCAUGUAAAGUUUUUCUACAACAGUUCAGAAAAGACUGAUGCUAAUUGUUUUUGUGAAGAAUCCCCUGAAGAUGUUUUUCCAUUUAUUUUGGAAUUGGCUAUUGUGUGCCAAUUUAUGGAACUGUAUUUAUAACUUGAUUUCUCUUUGUAUAGAACACUGGGGGGCCAGAUCCGGCCCGUCACAUCAUUCUAUGUGGCCCGCGAAAGCAAAUCAAAAUUGCUCAUUGUGUUCUGGUGUGAUACCAUUGAGGUAUUUGCAAGCAAUUUUUUUGGGUUACCAAUCCCACUUUGAAAAUAAAUGUAAUAGUCGAAAAACAUGUUUUUAUAUGCUUCUGAUUU